rnacentral:rRNA from 1 species
UACGUAGGUGGCAAGCGUUGUCCGGAAUUACUGGGCGUAAAGGGCGUGUAGGCGGCCUUUUAAGUCAGACGUGAAAUCUCCAGGCUUAACCUGGAAACUGCGUUUGAAACUGGAGGGCUUGAGGACCGGAGAGGGUAGUGGAAUUCCCAGUGUAGCGGUGAAAUGCGUAGAUAUUGGGAGGAACACCAGUGGCGAAGGCGACUGCCUGGACGGCACCUGACGCUGAGGCGCGAAAGCUAGGGGAGCAAAC